rnacentral:tRNA from 1 species
AGUGGUUUAGUGUUUGGUUGCUAACCAAAAGGUUGGUGGUUGGAACCCACCAGCCACUC